rnacentral:rRNA from 1 species
UACGUAGGGUGCAAGCGUUGUCCGGAAUUAUUGGGCGUAAAGAGCGCGUAGGCGGUUUGUCGCGUCUGCUGUGAAAUCCCGAGGCUCAACCUCGGGUCUGCAGUGGGUACGGGCAGACUGGAGUGCGGUAGGGGAGAAUGGAAUUCCUGGUGUAGCGGUGGAAUGCGCAGAUAUCAGGAGGAACACCGAUGGCGAAGGCAGUUCUCUGGGCCGUAACUGACGCUGAGGAGCGAAAGCGUGGGGAGCGAACAGG